rnacentral:rRNA from 1 species
AUUGAACGCUGGCGGCAUGCCUUACACAUGCAAGUCGAACGGCAGCACGGGUGCUUGCACCUGGUGGCGAGUGGCGAACGGGUGAGUAAUACAUCGGAACAUGUCCUGUAGUGGGGGAUAGCCCGGCGAAAGCCGGAUUAAUACCGCAUACGAUCUACGGAUGAAAGCGGGGGACCUUCGGGCCUCGCGCUAUAGGGUUGGCCGAUGGCUGAUUAGCUAGUUGGUGGGGUAAAGGCCUACCAAGGCGAAGAUCAGUAGCUGGUCUGAGAGGGCGACCAGCCACACUGGGACUGAGACACGGCCCAGACUCCUACGGGAGGCAGCAGUGGGGAAUUUUGGACAAUGGGCGAAAGCCUGAUCCAGCAAUGCCGCGUGUGUGAAGAAGGCCUUCGGGUUGUAAAGCACUUUUGUCCGGAAAGAAAUCCUUGGCCCUAAUACGGUCGGGGGAUGACGGUACCGGAAGAAUAAGCACCGGCUAACUACGUG